UUAAUUAAGAGUUUGAUCUUGGCUCAGGAUGAACGCUGGCGGCGUGCCUAACACAUGCAAGUCGAGCGAGAAACAGCGGACGGAUCUUUUCGGAGAGAAGGAAGUUGUGGAAAGCGGCAGACGGGUGAGUAACGCGUGGGCAACCUACCCUGUACAGAGGAAUAGCCACUGGAAACGGUGAUUAAUGCCUCAUGAAACCGAGGCACCGCAUGGUGCCACAGUCAAAGAUUUAUCGGUAUGGGAUGGGCCCGCGUCUGAUUAGCUGGUUGGUAGGGUAAUGGCCUACCAAGGCGACGAUCAGUAGCCGACCUGAGAGGGUGAUCGGCCACACUGGAACUGAGACACGGUCC
rnacentral:ncRNA from 1 species